UUAAACUUAAAACUAAUCAUAAUCAACAUUUUUUUAUACUAUCACUAUAUUCUCCUAUAUAUUAAUAACCCAAGCCUUUGAACAGCAGAAAGGGUUAGCUUUGGUAUUUCACCAACAAACUUGACAAAAAAGCCUAGGUGAUUGUCACAGCCACCACUGCCAUAUCUCCGACAGAAACUCACCGCCACCGCCACCAGUGCCAUAUCUCCGAUAGAAGAUGGAAAACAGGAUAUUUAUUUGGCUUAUAAAAGUAUGAAAUGCCUAACCAUCAUAUCAACUUUGAAGAUGGAAAACAGGAUAUUUAUUUGGCUUAUAAAAACGCGGUAUGAUGGUGUUUAUUUGGUGGUGUGGGCAUAUGGAUAUGGACCACCGUAAUCAGCUCCAAUAGAUGGAUGUCUGGCUAACAUGGUCGAAUGAAACAGGUCUGAUUGCCUCAAUGACCUGAAUUUUAAUGUUCAGUGUAAGUCAGAGUUAAGGUAACCUUUAAAAUAAAGACUCUGUUUGGCGAGUUGUAUUGAUUUUAAAAGUCUACAUGUUGUAAAAGAAAAGAUGUAAUUAGAGAAAUUAGCAUUUGUUGUAUAAAAUUUGUUGCUAUAAAUGAAAGUUUUGGAAACUAACUCAUAUGUUAAAAAUGGAAGGCAAAUGAACAGUGUUAUGAUCUACGUGGAAAGUUUUGAUUCGGUUUUUCCUGUUUCCUUUCUUUCGCAAUGUUUUCAGGUUAUUCGAGUUCACCUAUGACGUUUUGCUGGAGUGGUUACGUUCCAGGUUUUGUUGGUACUGGCCGGGUUCGACCCCCAGCUUCAAGACAAUCCAUGCAUGUAUUUCGAAGAGAGAUCAGAUUGGUUGGUCAUAAUAAAAGGCUUUAGUGUGUUCAAUAUUUCUUGGAAUUGUUAUAUUGUCUUUGCUGUGAAUCUUUCGUAUGAAGUCAUAAUAAAAUGCAUGCUAUAUUUAUAUACUUUAUAUACUUUGUUGUGAAUCUUUCAUAUGAAGUUAAGAGCUAUUAGCAUGUUAUUGAUGUUUACCUUCUUAAUUAUGAUGGUUAUGAAGUUGUAGUGC